rnacentral:rRNA from 1 species
UACGUAGGGGGCAAGCGUUGUUCGGAAUUACUGGGCGUAAAGGGCGCGUAGGCGGCAUGGCAAGUCAGGAGUGAAAGGCCUGGGCUCAACCGAGGAACUGCUUUUGAUACUGCCAAGCUAGAGUGCGGAAGGGGCAACUGGAAUUCCCAGUGUAGCGGUGAAAUGCGUAGAUAUUGGGAAGAACACCUGAGGCGAAGGCGGGUUGCUGGGCCGACACUGACGCUGAGGAGCGAAAGCAUGGGGAGCGAACAGG